CUUUGGUGUGUUGUCUGUUUAGAUCUUUUGCCCAUUGUUUACUCAGGUUAUUUUCUUAUUGUUGAGUCUAAAACUCUUUAAAUGCCAAAAAGAUCCCACUGAUCUGCCUCAUCUAUAUCUUAUUACACCUUCAACCAUUGUGUUUUAUGUUUCUACUAUGCUGCUCUUUCAUGUCCUUGAAUGUGCCUUCCUCAUGGCUGUACUGUCUGUACUAUUCAUUCCAUGUGCUCUCAUUUACAUAAGUAACACUUUACAUCCUUUCAAGUUUCGCUAAGACAUGACUUCCUCAGGGAAGUUUUCCUCACACCACAAGUUCUAUCUUACAUACUCUUAGAGGCACUCCUGAUCACAGGUUAAUCAUGUCUAACAUCUAUUUUUCACAGAAUAGAAGCUCCAUGAGGAUGGAAUCAUAUUUGUUUCCACUCUUGUAUGCUCAGUGUUCAGAUUGUGUCUGGUACAUGCUAGAUUGCUCAAUAAAUAUCUGUUAAAUGACUGUUGGGAAGAGCUUAGACAGUGCCUCUUCUCUGCCUGUGGAAAUGUAAAGUUGAAGAAAUUAUCUAGACAACCUAUCUGCACAACUUGGUAUCCUUUGAUAAGUCUCAGGUUAACCUGUCACCUCUUAGAUAUUGUGUAUUAUUUACUAUUACUUAAUAAGCCAGGGCAAUAAUAUGAGUAUUCUAGAGAAGGCUAUUUUGUUUGAUAUGUGAUGAAAACAUCAGUUUUUAUAUGUUAAUCAUGAAUCAAAUGUUUUGCUCUAGAAGUAACUACGUAGCCUAGAAUUUUGGAGAGUUAGUUUCUUCUACAGAAACUACAGAGCUAAUGUUUUCUCUUUUUCAUUAAUUCAGCCUUUUAUCAUACCAAUUGCAGAAAUUUAUAAUCUCAUCUUUUCUUGAAGAAUGGUGAUAACAUUUAUGAUCCUGAACUUUUUUUCCAGCCAUCACUUAUCACAUGACUAUCUAUGUCCAGUGGCCUAAUUUAAUAUUUUACAUGAGAUUUGAAGGGGUAUACACUAAGAGCUGUAUUCUGCUGCAUAACAAACAUAUAAAACACUAGUUUCACAUUUUUCUUGCUUUAGAAAUUUACUGAUCACUAAUUGUUGUUCUCAAAAUGCCAAAUACCCUUUAUCUUCAUCCAAAAAUAUUGAAAGCUAAGUACAAGCUAGGCAUGGAGUUACUCAUUGAGAGUUAAGAAAACAAUUGAUUCUGCACAUCAAGAGGUGCCUGGUUAAAAAAAUAAAAAAUGAAAAAAAAAAAAAAGAAACAAUUGACUAUGCUGAAGAAAAAGAUAUAGGUUCUAAUCUAUUUUUUAUCACCUUUUUUCUAGCUGUCAUUAUAUAUAUUGAAAAUGAUGAAAUGUAUGAAAAGGACUCUAAUGUCAUAUCAACUCAUUCAUAAAAGUGUUUACAGAAUGCACAAUUAGGAAACCCUGUUUGCAGAACCCAGAGUCAUGAAGAAUAAAACAACUCAGGAAACCCACUUAAGAAAACAUUGAGAAUGUAUAGAAAAGACCUCUAUAAUGGCUUUUGCACUAUUCAGAUUAGUCAAAUAAAAGAUGUCAGCAAUGCAAGUUAAAAUAGGUAUUUUAUUGAGAAACUUGCUUUAUCAGUGAGAAAGUAACAGUUACAAAUAUUUUCAUUUAAUAAAAUUAGCAUAUUUUUAAUUCUAAAAAUGUCUUUUAAAAGCCUUUAUUAUCUGAAACUGCAGAUCAUUCUGAUUCAGGGUUUUCUUUUAGUGUCUCCCUUGGAAAAAAAUGUUGCAGAUUCCAUUCGUGC